rnacentral:rRNA from 1 species
AUUGAACGCUGGCGGCAGGCCUAACACAUGCAAGUCGAACGAGGGGCGGGCGGGGGAGGACGGUCUGGGAAACUGCGCGUUGGAGAGGGAUAACUACUGGAAACGAUAGCUAAUAUCGCACAACAGCGGCUGUGCCCAGAUGGGAUUAGCUGGUAGGGGAGGUAACGGCGCACCUAGGCAACGAUCCCUAGCUGGUCUGAGAGGGUGACCAGCCACACUGGAACUGAGACACGGUCCAGACUCCUACGUGAGGCAGCAGUGGGGAAUAUUGGACAAUGGGCGCAAGCCUGAUGCAGCCAUGCCGCGUGUGUGAAGAAGGCCUUCGGGUUGUAAAGUACUUUCAGCGGGGAGGCGUUACCCACAGAAGAAGCACCGGCUAACUCCGUGCCAGCCGCCGCGGUAAUUC